rnacentral:pre_miRNA from 1 species
UAAAUACUCCCUCCGUCUGAAAAUACUUGUCAUCAAAAUGGAUAAAAAGAGAUGUAUCUAAAACUAAAAUACGUCUAGAUACAUUUCCUUUUAUCCAUUUUGAUGACAAGUAUUUUUGGACGGAGGGAGUAUUUG